UUAGCUCAGCCUGGAGAGCACCUGCUUUGCAAGCAGGGGGUCGUCGGUUCGAUCCCGUCAUCCUCCACCAACCAAUACGCUCUGCGGUAGGGCGAAGAAACCAACACCAAAGCGGCUUCGCGAGAGGCCUCUUUGUUGUUGGUCCGGUAUAGACCGGAUCAAUCGGCUGUUCUUUAAAAAUUCAUAUGAGUCGAAUCAGCGUUGCCGGCGGAAAGCAGGAAACUGCACCGUGCCGCCGGUGACAAAAAUUUGAUUGCGUCAAAACGAAUACCUUCAAUUGAGCGAAAGCUUGUUGAAAUUCAGUAAUGACGAAUUGUUCUCUAGGUAGCAAUACCGAAGAAGAAUUCACAUUACGGCAUAACGCGCGAGGUGAAAGACCUCGCAAGUCCUUGAAAGAAAGCGGAGAUGUCUCGCAAGAGAUGUCAAAGUUAUAGGGUCAAGUCGACUAAGAGCAUGUGGUGGAA
rnacentral:rRNA from 1 species